CACGUAGGGCGCGAGCGUUGUCCGGAAUUAUUGGGCGUAAAGAGCUCGUAGGCGGCCUGUUGCGUCCGCUGUGAAAGCCCGGGGCUUAACCCCGGGUCUGCAGUGGAUACGGGCAGGCUAGAGGUAGGUAGGGGAGAAUGGAAUUCCCGGUGUAGCGGUGAAAUGCGCAGAUAUCAGGAGGAACACCUGUGGUGUAGACAGCUUACUGGACCAUUUCUGACGCUGAGACACGAAAGCGUGGGUAGCAAACAGG
rnacentral:rRNA from 1 species